ACAUCGGGACUGAGACACGGCCCGAACUCCUACGGGAGGCAGCAGUAGGGAAUUUUUCACAAUGGGCGAAAGCCUGAUGAAGCAAUGCCGCGUGACUGAAGACGGUCUUCGGAUUGUAAAGGUCUGUUGUAAGGGAAGAACAGUAAGUAUAGGAAAUGAUACUUAUUUGACGGUACCUUACCAGAAAGCCACGGCUAACUAUGUGCCAGCAGCCGCGGUAAUACAUAGGUGGCAAGCGUUAUCCGGAUUUAUUGGGCGUAAAGCGUGCGCAGACGGUUUAACAAGUUUGGGGUCAAAUCCUGGAGCUCAACUCCAGUUCGCCUUGAAAACUGUUAAGCUAGAGUGUAGGAGAGGUCGAUGGAAUUCCAUGUGUAGCGGUGAAAUGCGUAGAUAUAUGGAGGAACACCAGUGGCGAAGGCGGUCGACUGGCCUAUCACUGACGUUUAGGCACGAAAGCGUAGGGAGCAAAUAGGAUUAGAUACCCUAGUAGUCUACGCCGUAAACGAUGAGUACUAAGUGUCGGACUAAGUUCGGUGCUGCAGCUAACGCAUUAAGUACUCCGCCUGAGUAGUAUGCUCGCAAGAGUGAAGCUCAAAGGAAUUGACGGGGACCCGCACAAGCGGUGGAGCAUGUGGUUUAAUUCGAAGCAACGCGAAGAACCUUACCAAGGCUUGACAUCCAGUGCAAAGCUGUAGAAA
rnacentral:rRNA from 1 species